rnacentral:rRNA from 1 species
GAUGAACGCUGGCGGCGUGCCUAAUACAUGCAAGUCGAGCGAACGGACGAGAAGCUUGCUUCUCUGAUGUUAGCGGCGGACGGGUGAGUAACACGUGGAUAACCUACCUAUAAGACUGGGAUAACUUCGGGAAACCGGAGCUAAUACCGGAUAAUAUUUUGAACCGCAGGGUUCAAAAGUGAAAGACGGUCUUGCUGUCACUUAUAGAUGGAUCCGCGCUGCAUUAGCUAGUUGGUAAGGUAACGGCUUACCAAGGCAACGAUGCAUAGCCGAGCUGAGAGGGUGGUCGGCCACACUGGAACUGAGACACGGUCCAGACUCCUACGGGAGGCAGCAGUAGGGAAUCUUCCGCAAUGGGCGAAAGCCUGACGGAGCAACGCCGCGUGAGUGAUGAAGGUCUUCGGAUCGUAAAACUCUGUUAUUAGGGAAGAACAUAUGUGUAAGUAACUGUGCACAUCUUGACGGUACCUAAUCAGAAAGCCACGGCUAACUACGUA